rnacentral:rRNA from 1 species
UACGUAGGGCGCAAGCGUUGUCCGGAAUUAUUGGGCGUAAAGAGCUCGUAGGCGGCUUGUCACGUCGGAUGUGAAAGCCCGGGGCUUAACCCCGGGUCUGCAUUCGAUACGGGCUAGCUAGAGUGUGGUAGGGGAGAUCGGAAUUCCUGGUGUAGCGGUGAAAUGCGCAGAUAUCAGGAGGAACACCGGUGGCGAAGGCGGGUCUCUGGGCCAUUACUGACGCUGAUGCUCGAAAGCUAGGGGAGCAAACAGG